AUUGAACGCUGGCGGCAGGCCUAACACAUGCAAGUCGAACGAGUGGCGGACGGGUGAGUAAUGUCUGGGAAACUGCCCGAUGGCGGGGGAUAACUACUGGAAACGGUAGCUAAUACCGCAUACCCUCGGAUGUGACCAGAUGGGAUUAGCUUGUAGGUAAGGUAACGGCUCACCUAGGCGACGCUCCAUAGCUGGUCUGAGAGGAUGACCAGCCACACUGGAACUGAGACACGGUCCAGACUCCUACGGGAGGCAGCAGUGGGGAAUAUUGGACAAUGGGCGAAAGCCUGAUCCAGCCAUGCCGCGUGUGUGAAGAAGGUCUUCGGAUUGUAAAGCACUUUAAGUUGGGAGGCGUUACCAACAGAAUAAGCACCGGCUAACUUCGUGCCAGCAGCCGCGGUAAUAC
rnacentral:rRNA from 1 species